rnacentral:lncRNA from 1 species
AACAUGUGGGAGAGGUACUACCUCGGGGCGCAGUUGUACGUCAGCGUGGUAUCGCCGGCGAGGUCGCUCCGGGACGAGUACAACAUGCCGGAGAUAGCCCUCCGCUGCGGCAAGGUCGUCGGCCUGCCGAUGCCGCCGUCCUACCUCCCCGCAUAAUAAAGCAGAACCCCCAACCAAGCUCAGGAACCCAUCCAUGGUGCUAGCUGCUGCUGUACACACAAACAACGCAGGCGACAGGGAGAGC